CGGUAAUACGUAGGGUGCGAGCGUUAAUCGGAAUUACUGGGCGUAAAGCGUGCGCAGGCGGAUUGUUAAGCAAGAUGUGAAAUCCCCGGGCUUAACCUGGGAAUGGCAUUUUGAACUGGCAGUCUAGAGUGCGUCAGAGGGGGGUGGAAUUCCACGUGUAGCAGUGAAAUGCGUAGAUAUGUGGAGGAACACCAAUGGCGAAGGCAGCCCCCUGGGAUGACACUGACGCUCAUGUACGAAAGCGUGGGUAGCAAACAGGAUUAGAUACCCUGGUAGUCCACGCCCUAAACGAUGUCAACUGGUUGUUGGGGGAGUGAAAUCCCUUAGUAACGAAGCUAACGCGUGAAGUUGACCGCCUGGGGAGUACGGUCGCAAGAUUAAA
rnacentral:rRNA from 1 species